UUCAAACUUGAGCCCACUCCCCAAAAAAAUGCCCAUAAGCAUAAGCGCUUUUUCCAAAAACAACGCUUAUUUCGCAAAAGCUAUUUUUUUCUCUCAUCUUUCUCACGUAACAACAACAACAAUACACUCAAACUCUUCAUCUAGUUUUUCUUAAAAAAUUGAUACAACAAACAACCAACAACCGGAUUCAGUUUUUGAUUUAGAAUUGUUUCAAUUUUGAUUUCGCGGUUCUAUUUGAGCUUCACGACUAUGUUUGGUGUUUGCGAAGGUUUUUUGUUCAGAAUCAAAUUGCUACUCAGUUCUGUUUUGGUUUGAGUUUGGAGGUUUCGACUCAGUGCGGAGUUUGGAUUCGAGCAGAGCUUUUCAAGGUUCAUAAUUUGCAUUCAAGCCAAGUUUUUAGUACAUGUUUGUUUCGAUUUCAAAUCGAAUUUUGUUUCAGUUUAGAAUUUGAUUUACGUUUUUAACUCAAUUACAGGUUCUAUGUUUGAUUGUGAUUCUUGUGAUUCAAUUUUGGUGCAUAUUUUGGUUUAAGUUAUAAUUAAAGCUAGUAUACAACAUCAUAAAGCUUAAUUGGAUGAGCGCUUACUAGUUGAAAUGAAGAAAACUGCAGAUUUUGUCCUUGCUCACAAAAUGUUCGAUGAAAUGUUCCAACUAGAUUCUUUCUUCUUUUUGAUUCAGUUUUGAUUUUCUUAUGCUAUGAUGUUGUGUUGCUGAUUAUUAUGUUCAAAUCGCAGCUUGUGAAUUGCUUUUGAGUUUGUUAUAAUCUUUUAUGUAUGCUCAGUUGUGUGAAUUUAAUUUAUCCAUAAAUGAUCCAAUACCCAAAUCUAGGACAUGGUGAGAGUUUCAAAAUCAAUCACUGUAUUACUCUAUCCGUCCACCUUGAACGUUACAUGUUUGAUAAAAUGUGUGUGUGAGAUUGUGAUAGUUAUUUUAAUGAAUUUUUUAUGCUUUCACUCUAUCAAGUACCUUCCCUAAUUCUGUUGUUGAAAGGAUCCACUCUUCUUGUGUAAUAAAUGACUACACUUCAAAGAUCUCUCUUACUGUUUUCGGUGCUCUUGGCCUCUCAUACUCUCUCCCCUCAACGGCAAUCUCAUCAAUCUUAUCAGGAUUACUUUUCCUCCCACUCCAUGAAUCAAACAGUGAGGAUUGUCAGGGAUAAGCUUGAUAAGAUUGAAUCUAGUGGCAAACAUCUACAAGAUGGAUCAACAUCCAAAAACGCACGAGUUGAUAAUAGGAGGAGGAUUUAAUGUGUAAAAAAGUAUAAAGUUUAAUAUAAUUAUGAUGUUCUCCUAGAGUGUGUUUGAGAGGAUUUAGGAAGGAAAGAUCCCCCUCUCUCCUCUUUUCUUCCGGAUCAAGAUCAAUCUCCUAUUCGGGUUUGAUGGAAUUAGUGUUGUAAGGGAUGAAAGCGUUUUAUCAAUUCCAUUGAAGUGUAUUGCUCCUGCAUUUACCUACCUAGAGGUAGAUAUUUAACUUGUUCUUGUUAGUUUUUUGUGUUGUAUGAAGUUUGUGAUUGAAAGUGGCAACUGUCAAGAUUAGAGUACCCUGCGAUUCUUAUUUUAUCUAUGUAGUUAGUGUGUUCUUGUUAGCUGGCUUCUGGCUGAGUUGUGUUUUCUAUUUUACGGAAAUAGUUGUCUUUGCAAAAUGAGACAAAAACUGACUGUUUUACAUAAAUGUACAGAUCAAAAGGUUAAGCAUAGUUGUUUUGUUCAUUUUACUCAUGUACUGAUUUCGUUUCCAUGUAAGUAUGUUAUUCAAUAGAUGCUUGGUACACUAGAGGAUGUCCAAGCAAUUUUGGCUGGAUUGCACUAAUAGGCCUUGCACUCUACAUCAUAUUCUUCUCACCAAGAAUGGGAACAGUUCCAUGGGUUGUUAACUCUGAAAUCUAUCCAUUAAGAUACAGAGGAAUCUGUGGAGGAAUAGCCUCUACCACAGUUUGGGUUUCCAACCUUAUUGUUUCUCAAUCCUUCUUAUCUUUGACUGAAGCAAUUGGAACAUCUUGGACUUUCAUGCUCUUUGGAAUCAUUGCGUUUAUUGGAAUAUAUUAUCGUUUUCGUGCCAGAGACUAAGGGAGUUCCUAUAGAAGAAGUGGAGAACAUGCUUGAUAGAAGAUCUGUGCAGAUUAAGUUUUGGGAGAAGAGAGAUUCUGGUUCUGAGAAGCAGUGAUUCAGAAGAAAAUAAUAAUAAGGGCUAGCUUCAUGUUUUGUUCCAUAGCUUUAGUUAUUAAUGUGUGAAGUAAACUAUGGUUUGAAUUAAUGCUGAGUUUGUGCGAAUUACAAUGUCACCGUAAUUCGGUCAAAUUUGUAGUAAUUUUAAAAUUACAUUGGAUUUCUUUUGGGUAAUAUGUUAUGUAAUUAACAUUUUAGUUCAAAUGGGUAGUUUUAUCAAGUGGAUUGUUGGAAAUCCUCAUGAAAUCUGUAGUUCACAUAUAUUUACUAGUAUUACUUUGUAUUGAAACUACAAUAUCUAAUAUGAUAUUGUGAAGUCAAUUUGCUCAA